rnacentral:rRNA from 1 species
UACAGAGGUCUCAACCGUUGUUCGGAUUCAUUGGGCGUAAAGGGUGCGUAGGCGGCGGGGUAAGUCAGGUGUGAAAUCUCGGGGCUCAACCCCGAAACUGCACUUGAUACUGCCUCGCUUGAGUACUGGAGAGGAGACUGGAAUUUACGGUGUAGCAGUGAAAUGCGUAGAGAUCUGGAAGAACACCGGUGGCGAAGGCGGUGGUCUGGGCCAUUACUGACGCUGAGGAGCGAAAGCCAGGGGAGCGAACGGG